rnacentral:antisense_RNA from 1 species
GAGGCCCCGUGAGGACACGCGCGGUGGUGGCGGUGGCGGCGGGCGCGCGGCCGCAGCCGGAGGAGGACGGCGGGAGCGUGCGAGGAGCUGGCUCGGUUAUUUCGGAGCGAGAGCCGAGGCCGGGGGAAGUUCCUGCGGAGUGCUCAAGGGCAGAAGAGGUGCCGCGUCCCGAAGAGGGGAAGCGGAGAAGUUUGCUGCUGUCCGGGUCGCCUCGCGACGCUGAGAGAAUCGCCCAGCCCUCCGCAGCCGCCCAGCGAGAACCGGAGCUGCGGCCCCGCACCGGCGUGAGUCCAGCUGAGCUGACACGCCGAGCCGGUUGUGCCUUUCCGAGGGAGGAAUGUGCCGUGGAAUCCAAACUUUGGAAAACGUCCCACCCGAAUUCCCAGCGAGCAGCAAGGAGACCAGAGCGUCGAUGGAGCCACCGUUAGUUGCGGGAGGGCUGUCCCCAAGAGGAAUUCAUCACUGUCGUCCGCUGGGAGGGACCAACCUUGAAAUGGGGUUGGUGGAGAGAGGGAUGGAGAAGAGCCGGCGUGCUUAUAAAUAACAAAACUUAGCUAUGAACCCUUCCGAUUCCCAAGUGGGGAAGAUAGGGGUAAAAUUCUAAGUGACUUCUCGCUCCGAAGAGGGAUACCACAAAAAGCGGAGCGCAGGGUACUUGGCGUAUAAUAAGCCAUCAAUAAUUUAUGGGUGAAAUUGAGAGCCAAAUAUAAGAUGAUAAACUGAAGAAUAAAAACAGCUGACAAAUACUGUAUAGAAAAGAUUGCGUUGGAAUCAUAACUGUGGAUUGGAAGUGAUGUUAAGGAUUAUUGAAUUGAGUAUUUGUAGCUGAAUUUCUGCUGGCAUUUCUAUCAGUGGGGAAAGCCCUCACGGCUCCAUAGGUAAUUUUUGUUAGGGGAGGAAGAAGUGUUGUUCUGUCACCCACCCCCAGGCAAAGAGUCGCUGAUCUAAUUCUCCAUUUCUUUCUUUCUUUCUUUGAAACGGAGUUUCGUUCUUGUUGCCCAGGCUGGAGUGCAGUGCAGUGCUGCGAUCUCGGCUCAUUGCAACCUCCACCUCCCGGGUUCGAGGGAUCCUCUGCCUCAGCCUCCCAAGUAGCUGGGAUUACAGGCGCACGCCACCGCACCCGGGUAAUUUUGUAUUUUUAAUAGAGACAGGGUUUCACCAUGUUGGCCAGGCUGUUUGAACUCCUGACCUCAAGUGAUCCGCCCGCCUCGGCCUCUCAAAGUGCUGGGAUUACAGGCGUGAGCCACCAAGUCCUGCCUAAUCUCCUUUUUAUAGUUGAGGAAAGCUAGUAACUUGACUGAAGUCUCAUAUAUUAGAGCUGUAACUGAAGUUUUUCAGUGUCUCAAUUCUGCAACUAUUCGUUUUUCUAUCACAUCACUGUUUGGCAUAUAUAUAGCAGGAAAAGGAAAGGCUGGAAAUUAGUUGACCACACACUGAUUAAGCUUGAAACAUAUUUCUACUGGAGAAAAAAAGUUACUGUAAUUUUGGCAUAGGCAUCACAUAUUGCUGGAGUGGAAAGACCGAUGCACUCAGGUCCUGCUUUCUAUAAGCUGUGACCUCGGGCCAGUCACUCCAUUUCUCCUGAACUAGAUCACUGAUGAUCUGUUGAAAGAAAAAAUAUGGCUAGUAAUGCCUUAAUUACCUCACAGAGGUUUUACAAGGAGCAAAAAGACAAUGUAUUUUUAAAUGUACUUUGUAGAAGGUGUGUAUUGUCGAGACAAUACAGCAGUGAAGAGAAGGCAUGCAAAGCUGUCUUGUUGGAGUCUGGCUAAAGAGCACCAAAGCAGCCUGGUGUGGGAUGUCCUCUGGGGGCCACCUGGACUUGCUAUGUUAACAUGGAGGGACUAGGCAGGGGUAUGAAGAAGGAAGCCCAGCAGAGCAGGAGGCAGCAGCAGCAAUGAGAGAUUGGUUAUCCAUAUGACUUGGAUCUGCGUCCCCACCCAAAUCUCAUGUUAAAUUGUAAUCCCCAGUGUUGGAGGUGGGGACUGGUGGGAGGUGACUGGAUCAUGGGGGUGGAUUUCUUAUGAAUGGUUUAGUACCAUCCACUUGGUAUUGUCCCCGUGGUAAUGAGUGAGUUCUUAAGAAAUCUGGUCAUUGAAAAAUAUGUGGCACCUCCUCCCUCUCUCUUUUGCUCCUGCCCCGGCUAUAUGAUGCAAUUUGUCUUCAGCCAUGAUUGUAAGUUUCCCGAGGCCUCCCCAGAAGCUGAGCAGGUGCCAGCAUCAUGCUUCCUGUACAGCCUGCCUUCCAUGAGCCAAUUAAACUUCUUUCCUUUACAAAUUA